rnacentral:tRNA from 1 species
GAGGGGAUAGUUCUAUGGUAGAGUGCAUGCCUAGCAUGCAUGAGGUCCUGGGUUCAAUACCCAGUACUUCCA